rnacentral:rRNA from 1 species
UUACCUACGGGGGGCAGCAGUGGGGAAUCUUGCACAAUGGGCGAAAGCCUGAUGCAGCAACGCCGCGUGAGCGAAGAAGGCCUUUGGGUCGUAAAGCUCUGUCCUAAGGGAAGAAGGAAGUGACGGUACCUUAGGAGGAAGCCCCGGCUAACUACGUGCCAGCAGCCGCGGUAAUACGUAGGGGGCAAGCGUUAUCCGGAAUUACUGGGUGUAAAGGGAGCGUAGGCGGCCCUGUAAGUCUGAUGUGAAAAUUUGGGGCUCAACCCCAAACGUGCAUUGGAAACUGCAGGGCUUGAGUGCCGGAG